rnacentral:rRNA from 1 species
ACGCUCGACACCUACGGAGGCAGCAGUGAGGAAUAUUGGUCAAUGGACGCAAGUCUGAACCAGCCAUGCCGCGUGCAGGAUGACGGCUCUAUGAGUUGUAAACUGCUUUUGUACGAGGGUAAACGCAGAUACGUGUAUCUGUCUGAAAGUAUCGUACGAAUAAGGAUCGGCUAACUCCGUGCCAGCAGUCGCGGUAAUCUGAGCGGGCUGGCAAGGC